GCGGUGAAGGAUGAGCUCGCGGCCUAUCAGCUUGUUGGUGGGGUAACGGCCCACCAAGGCUUCGACGGGUAGCCGGCCUGAGAGGGUGACCGGCCACACUGGGACUGAGACACGGCCCAG
rnacentral:rRNA from 1 species